UUAUUUUUAUUCACCCUUGUCUUUUGCGCACUUGUUGUUUCCUGGGCGGGUUCGCUCGCCACCAGGACCACAUCAUAAACCUUUUUUGUUAAUGCAAUCAGCGUCAGUAUAACAAAUGUAAAUCAUUUACAACUUUCAACAACGGAUCUCUUGGUUCUGGCAUCGAUGAAGAACGCAGCGAAAUGCGAUACGUAGUGUGAAUUGCAGAAUUCAGUGAAUCAUCGAAUCUUGAACGCACAUUGCGCCCUUUGGUAUUCCAAAGGGCAUGCCUGUUCGAGCGUCAUUUGUACCCUCAAGCUUUGCUUGUGUUGGGCGUUGUUUGUCUUUGGUCCGCCCAAAGACUCGCCUUAAAACAAUUGGCAGCCGGCCUACUGGUUUCGCAGCGCAGCACAUUUUUGCGCUUGCAAUCAGCAAAAGAGGUUGGUCAUCCAUCAAGACUACAUUUAUACGUUUGACCUCGGAUCAGGUAGGGAUACCCGCUGAACUUAAGCAUAUCAAUAA
rnacentral:rRNA from 1 species